rnacentral:rRNA from 1 species
AAUUAUUAUUAGAUUUUUAAAUAAUUAUUCACGAAAUAAAUUGAGCUAAAUUUUUGGUAUUUUUGGAAAUUAUAACUAUAUGUUACAAAAUAUAUUAACUAAAUAGAUUUAGGGGUGAAAGGCCUAUCAAAUUUUAUGAUAUCUUGAAGUAUAUAAAAUAUAUCAAGUAUUUCUAAUUCAACUAUUGAAUGUUUAGGUUCAAUAGUAACAUUAUAUUUUUUAAAAAAUUGUUCAAUUUUUUUAAGUAAAAUUGAGUUAGAGCAUAAAAUAUACAUCAAAUUUUUAUUAUAUGAAUAUAAAUAUACUACGGUUAUUAAUAAAUAUAAUCAUAUAUAAUGUAAUUAUUAGUAAUAGUUUAUUAAACUAUAUAAAGGAAUUCGGCAAGAAAAUUUUUCACCUGUUUAUCAAAAACAUAGCUUAUUGAAUAUCAUAAUAAGUAACCCCUGCUCAAUGGAAAUCUAAAUAGCCGCAGUACCUUGACUGUGCAAAGGUAGCAUAAUCAAUUGGCUUAUAAUUGAAGUCUGGAAUGAAUGGGUAAUCUGGAAAAUAACUGUCUUUAUUUGUAGUAUUUUGAAUUUACUUAUAAAGUGAAAAUACUUUAAUAUAAAUAUAAGACGAGAAGACCCUAGAAAUUUUUUGUUAAUAACUUUUGUUGGGGCGACAGGGUAACAUAUAAACUUACUUACAUUUAUAUAAAUCUUAUAAGGUACGUAACUAAAUUACUCUAGGGAUAACAGCAUAAUAUAUAAAAGUUUAUGACCUCGAUGUUGGACUAGGUAAUUAAAUAUUUAAAAGAUAUCUUAAUUUGCUCUGUUCGAGCAGUAUCACCUACAU